UACGGAGGGUGCGAGCGUUAUCCGGAUUCACUGGGUUUAAAGGGUGCGUAGGUGGGAAUGUAAGUCAGUGGUGAAAUCUCCGUGCUUAACACGGAAACUGCCAUUGAUACUAUGUUUCUUGAAUUUUCUGGAGGUUAGCGGAAUAUGUCAUGUAGCGGUGAAAUGCUUAGAUAUGACAUAGAACACCGAUUGCGAAGGCAGCUAACUACAGGGAUAUUGACACUGAGGCACGAAAGCGUGGGGAGCAAACAGG
rnacentral:rRNA from 1 species